GGGGCCGACUGGUAUCGACCGGACGAUGAUCGUUNGUCGUUGCGCGUCGUGGAGCAUCCAUGCCACGUAAAAAGGAUGCAAACUUUUAUCUGCCAACACGCAGUACGCUCUCGCGGCCUGAUCGCCGUGACGGAAUCCCAUCUGACGCCCGAUGGGGUGGGAUUCCGCAAAUCAUCGGGCUGGGUCCGAAGGGCUGGCAUGCCCUGGAGGAUCGAGACAUUCGCAUGCCUUGUUCACGGCUUGGGUCGUCAUCCCUCCGGGUCGUGAACGAGAUCAAGGGACGACUACACGCGUAGACGCGGCCUUCGGCACGUUUCGGGACGGGGGUUCGAAUCCCCCCGGCUCCACUG
rnacentral:tmRNA from 1 species